UACGGAGGGGACUAGCGUUGUUCGGAAUUACUGGGCGUAAAGCGCACGUAGGCGGAUUUGUAAGUCAGGGGUGAAAUCCCGGGGCUCAACCUCGGAACUGCCUUUGAUACUGCAAAUCUCGAGUCCGGAAGAGGUGAGUGGAAUUCCUAAGUGUAGAGGUGAAAUUCGUAGAUAUUAGGAAAGAACACCAGUGGCGAAGGCGGCUCACUGGUCCGGUACUGACGCUGAGGUGCGAAAGCGUGGGGAGCAACAGG
rnacentral:rRNA from 1 species